GUCUAUGGCUAUAGCAACGAACAUGCCUGAUCUCCCAUGAACUCAAAAGCUAGGCAGAGUCAGCCUUGGUUAGCACUUGGAUGAGAGAGUAUUGUAUGAAAGGCACAGCCAUUGUGU
rnacentral:rRNA from 1 species